rnacentral:rRNA from 1 species
CAUUAACGAGUUUUGGGUCCUUUCGGGGCC